rnacentral:rRNA from 1 species
UACGGAGGGGGCUAGCGUUGUUCGGAAUCACUGGGCGUAAAGCGCACGUAGGCCGACGGUUAAGUCGGGGGUGAAAGCCUGGAGCUCAACUCCAGAACUGCCUCCGAUACUGGUCGUCUUGAGUCCGAGAGAGGUGAGUGGAAUUCCCAGUGUAGAGGUGAAAUUCGUAGAUAUUGGGAAGAACACCAGUGGCGAAGGCGGCUCACUGGCUCGGUGCUGACGCUGAGGUGCGAAAGCGUGGGGAGCAAACAGG